CCUACGGGAGGCAGCAGUAGGGAAUCUUCCACAAUGGGCGCAAGCCUGAUGCAGCAACGCCGCGUGGGUGAAGAAGGUCUUCGGAUCGUAAAACCCUGUUGUUAGAGAAGAAAGUGCGUGAGAGUAACUGUUCACGUUUCGACGGUAUCUAACCAGAAAGCCACGGCUAACUACGUGCCAGCAGCCGCGGGAAUACGUAGGGGGCAAGCGUUAUCCGGAUUUAUUGGGCGUAAAGGGAACGCAGGCGGUCUUUUAAGUCUGAUGUGAAAGCCUUCGGCUUAACCGGAGUAGUGCAUUGGAAACUGGGAGACUUGAGUGCAGAAGAGGAGAGUGGAACUCCAUGUGUAGCGGUGAAAUGCGUAGAUAUAUGGUAGAACACCAGUGGCGAAAGCGGCUCUCUGGUCUGUAACUGACGCUGAGGUUCGAAAGCGUGGGUAGCAAACAGGAUUAGAUACCCCUGUAGUC
rnacentral:rRNA from 1 species